GCAGGACCUCAGCGCGAAAGCCCAGCGCGCUUUAGGACUGUCCCCUCUGAAAAUGUGGUGUCACUGUGCAGCCAAAGCCUGGGGAGACGCGUCCAACUCAGACACUCAGCAUGUAGUGGCUGAGGAGAUCGCCUCAGAGCCCAGGAACCCGGGGCCGGGAGGAUCCGAAGCAAGACUGCCUGCGUGCCGCGCCAAGCAAGCACUCCCUUUUAUGUCCAGGAAUGAGGCGUCCUCAGCACCCAGGCGCGCAACCCGCGGCGGCGGCUUUACCUGUCGCGGAGCGCGUCUGCAGGACAGCGGAGAGCAGCGCGGAGAUGAUGGAGAGCAGCCACCUCGGGCGCCUUCCCUGCGCAGUCCUCCUGCAAGAAGCGGUGACAGAGAAGGAUGAAGGUAUACCUGCAUUCAGUUGACUGGCUUGACCUGGUUCAACCGAUCAGUGUUGGAGAAUGCAGCAGAUUCCUUUCCAACUCUCUCAGAGAAGUCCUGGGGACACCUUUGUUGAUUCUAGGAGAUAUACAUAAAGCCCGCCUUGUGUGUCUGAUUAAUGAGAAGAAGCAGCAGACUUCGCUAGCCUGCCAGAAGCCAACUUAAUAAAAUAAUCAGAGAAGAGGGCUGCCUCCUGGAGAACCAUGACUGUUGUACACACAGCUGCUCCCCGGGAGUGGCUUGUAUUCCAUUG